GACAAAACCAUGGAGGCUAGUUUGGAGACGUUUGUUAUUUUCUGUUAAAAGAGAACAAUUAGGAGGCUACUGUAGUGGUCACCUGAGAUAAGAAGAAAAGCAGAAUAUACAAGUGUAUAUAUUUGAGAAAUAAGCAUACAAAGGAAACAGAAGGAAAUAACUGGAACUCAUCAGUAUUUGGAAUGAUGGAAUUUUUAUGAGUUUAAAAGUGAGUGUG